rnacentral:lncRNA from 1 species
UUUUUUAUUUUUUUGAGAUGGAGUCUCUCACUCUGUCACCCAGGCUGGAGUGCAGUGGCGCAAUCUCGGCUCACUGCAACCUCCGCCUCCCUGGUUCAAGUGAUUCUCCUGCCUCAGCCUCCCAAGUAGCUGGGACUAUAGGCACGUGCCACCACGCCAGGCUAAUUUUUGCAUUUUUAGUAGAGACGGGGUUUCACUAUGUUGGCCAGGCUGGUCUCGAACUCCUGACCUCGUGAUCUGCCUGCCUCAGCCUCCCAAAGGGCUGGGAUUACAGGCAUGAGCCACCGCGCCUGGCCGGUGCUUUCUAAAAUCCUAAAUUCAUUGCCAGCACUGAAAACCAGAGGCUGUUACACAAAAAGCCAAACCUAAAGCUUCUCUUGAAAACAUCAGGCCAUCGGGCCACACCCCUUCAUGGCCACAGGCUGGGAAACUGAGGCUUGGCUGCCCUUUUCAAAGGUCACCAAGCUCCCCGUUCCUCAGCCCUACCACUCCCUAUUGCCUCACACCAGCCCUCCUCACUCAGACGUUCCUUCCCGCUCCUGGAGGCAGCCACCCGGGUUUGCAGUCCCCUAGAAUCCCGGUGUAUGAUGCCCACGUGUUCAACACUCCUCUGGCAAACUUUUUUUAAGUGUUUAUUUUGUUCCAAGCAGUGUUUAGGCAAUGAAGAUGCAAAUACUGUACUGCAGACAAAUCUUUUCUGCUGAGCUUCUGUCCGGCAAACGUAAAGACCACAGUCUCUAGGAGGGCUCUGGAGGCACGGGCCAAGCAGCAUGUGAUGAGUUUGCUGGUACAGGCAUUCAUGGGGUGCAAAGAAGUCAGGGUUUAAAAACACACACCCUAUAAGGAAACCUAGUCCUGUCGUCUGCCAGGGCACUGGGAAGGAGAAGCAGGACGUAGGAGGGUGGGAUAAGGAGGCAGGAAUUAUGAGAGUGUUCCACGGCAGUCCGGUCGGACCCUGGCUGGGACUGGUCCUGGGGCUUAUGGGGUACUGGAAAAGGAAAGCUUGGGGCAAUCAGGGGAGGCUUCCUGGAGGAAGGGAGGUUUGAGCUGAGGCCUGGAAGAAGCAGAGGAAUGGUGUGGGAAGAAGAAAAUGAGCAGAGCCCUGGGUUCUAGGGAGGGAGGCAGCGAUAGUGAAUCUGGAGGGGGCAGAAGGGGUGCUCAGGGAGAGCCUGACCCCAGCUGCAGAGGAGAGGAAGAGGGAGAAGAAGAGGGAGAGGAAGAGGGAGAAGAAGAGGGAGAGGAAGAGGGAGGCAGCCGUGCAGGGCCCGGAUACCUUGGGAAGAGACUGUGGGUUGGGGUGAUGGUCUGGACCUCCUGAUCACUGAGUGCCAACCAAAAGCUGUGACAGUGCCAAGCAAUGUGACGUGACUUGCCUGAGGUCACCCAGCUAGGGAGGGGCAGGGUCUGGAGUAGAGACCCAGGAGAGGAAGCUGGAAGGAUGUGCAGUUAGGACUGGUCUAGGAAUUUGUCUAUGUGACCCUGGGGGAGUCAUCUGAUGUCUCUGAACGAGACCACAGAGACCUGCUGAGAGUCACCUGGGUCCUGACUGGUCCCCCUUUCCGCCUGCCCAGCCCCAGGUCUGACAGUUCCCAUCAGCCGACCCCCAAAUGAGGCAGCAGGAGGGAAGAAAUCAGCCUGCGAAAAAAGAAAAACGAGCGACGGAAGAAAGCAGCAGGCUUCCAGGCCUGAGGGGACCGGCGAACCAGGGCAACCCCCGGGCAAGCAGAGGCAGAGCCGCCUGGGCGCUGGCUGCCGCCCCACCCCCGGCCCCACGCCCUUUCACCACAUCCCACGAGGGCUCCACGGAUGCCUGGGAAUUCCUGCAGGGUCCUGCCCAGGGUGGGACCCAUCCCUCAGUGGAGACCCCAUCUCUUGCUCCUCUGGGGCUGCCCCGGCCCCGCGCCGGUGGUCUGAGCUCUCCCUCCUGCAGCAGGGGACACCAACAGCGCCCGAAGCAGGUGGCGGUGGGAGGGCAGCGGAGGCGGCUACCGGUGACUCCAACGCGUCCGAAAUCGUCUGUGCAGCAGGAAGUCAAGCGUGAAAUUAACUUUCACUCUGCGGCCCCAGCAUGCAGACACAGAGAAAUUAAAGUGACGGGGCAAGGUCUCAGGGGAGGGAACGACCUCCCACCUUGAAGCAAUGACAGCAGCAGCGGCGAGGAGGCCGUGAGCGUGGGGGAGGCUGCUCUGGGGGAAGCUGGGCACCCCACCUGACCCCGGCUGGAUCAUCUCAUUGUCCCAUGGCGGCAGUCACUUAUCACAGUGUAUUUAUUCUUAACAGCCUCCCCUACUAGAAUGUCAGGCCUCAUUCACUGCUAUGUCCUGGAGGCCCAGAACAGUGCCUGGCGUGUAGCAGAUGCUCAGUAAAUAUUGGUUGAAUGAAUGAAUGAAUGAAUGAAUGAAUGAAUGAAUGAGUCUGGGUCUCUGUAGAUAAAAGAAAGAAGAACCAAAAACCCAGUAUGUGCUCUACACGCUGAGCACUGACCUCAGUGAGCACGUAUGAAACCGAGCCCUAGGGCAAGUGACUUCCCACAGGGACACACAGCUAGUCAGCCAGCCAGGACGCGCUGCGGUCCCGCUUGAGGCCCCUGUGUUCAGCCACGUGGUGAGACAGGGCCUGCACGGGGCCUCCCUUCCCAUGUCCGCACUGGACACGAGACAGUUUCUGCAGUCUAGCAGGAGCAGAGUCACAAAACAUCAGAGCCUGCAAGGAGUGCAGGGUGCAGAGGCUGCUGAGGGCAGCUUCCUGGGCACUGCAGAUUUCCUGAACAUUAUGCUCUCUCAGCUUGCAUACCUCUCAGUGACAGGGUGCUCACUACCUACCUCAGCAGCUCCUGCAGGGGCCUUCCCAUGGUACUCUCACCCCUACCCCCAGGUCCUUUCUCCCUGUGGCCACCAAAGCAAAUUUUUAAAACAAAAAUCUGAUCACAUUGCUUCCUGGGAUAAACUUCAUCACUGAAUUCCCUUCCAACAGAUAAUAAAGCCGGAACUCCUUACCAGCCCUCCGUGACCUGGCCUGUGCCCUCCUCUCCCUCGCCUACCUCCUCGGGCCAUGCCAGCCUUCUCUGUGACCCCUGCCAGCUCAAGGAGGCCUUUGCACCUCCUAUUCUACCCAUCUGGGACACUCCCCGGAGGUCCACACAGCCGGCUGCUGCUCAGCCUCCAAGGGUCCCCUCAACUGUCACUGCCUGCCCUGACCUCCCCGGCUAAUAUCACCCCCUCAUUUUCUCUCCCAUCACCCCACUUACCAGAGUAAUAGAAUUUUUAAAAAAUGAAUGGACUGCACAAUGAAAGUUAAUCAUAACCGCAUUGAAAUCUAAAAUAUAGAAGGGAUGAUAAUUUUAGUAGAAAAUAUCCAAGAAAUUAAAAUUCUAAAGACAAAUCAGUUCCAAUAAUUUACACACAAAGGUUGUUCUAACAGAACUCGACUACUUACAGUGUAGGAAAUCUUAAUUAUUCAUCUAUUUGUUUUAUAUUAUAUUAUAUAUAUAUUUUUUUGAGACACAGUCUUGUACUGCUGCCCAGGCUAGAAUGCAGAGGCAUGAUCUUGGCUCACUGCAACCUCCAUCUUCCAGGUUCAAGCAAUUCUCCUGCCUCAGCCUCCCAAGUAGCUGGGACUACAGGCACACGCCACCACAGCUGGCUAAUUUUUGUAUUUUUGGUAGAGAUGGGGUUUCACCAUGUUAGCCAGGGUGGUCUCGAACUCCUGACCUCAAGUUAUCUGCCCGCCUCGGCCUUCCAAAGUGCGGGGAUUACAGGCAUGAGCCACCGCACCCAGCACAUCUAUUUGUUUUAAUUAUAAACAUGUUUGUUUGUGAUUUAGAUUUGCAACAAAUUCAGUGAGGUGGCUACCUAUUUAGUCAAAAUGUACUUUAAUAGACCACAGCCAUUCUCUGACAAAGAUUAUGGGAUGUCAAAUACAGCACUGGCUUUAAUAUGCUUAUAGUUUAUUCUACUUAGACAAAGAUGAAGCAAUAUCUAUUUGCUGGUGUUAUCUAUAUGAGUAUCAUGCUUCUCUUCUGUUUAGAUUCUACAGCUGUCUUUAUUACUGCUCCCCAUGUAAAAUUGUCAGUAUAAUAAUAUGGCUAUCAAAAAAUAUUAUGUUAAGAAGAAAAAAAUCAUAACUAGGUAUAUGAAGGCAUAAAGAGCUUAAGAUAGUUAUGUGAGCAUAGUACUUUAGAUUGGCUGGUAUUUUCUUUGUCUUUUCUUUUUUUUUUUUUUAAGAAACAGGGUUUUGCUCUGUUGCCCAGGCUGGAGUACAGUGGUGCAAUCACGGCUCACUGCAGCCUUGAACUCCUGGGCUCAGGCGAUGCUCCCACCUCAGCCUCCUGAGUAUCUGGGACCACAGGCACGUGCCACCACACCCAGCUAAUUUCUUUUCAAUUUUGCUAUAUUUGGCCAGGCUGGUCUCGAACUCCUGGCCCCAGGCAAUCCUCCCACCUCAGCCUCCCAAAGCGCUGGGAUUAUAGGCAUGAGCCACUGCACCCAGCUGGAUUAGCUGACAUUCUCUUGUUUUGUUUACUUAACUCAUUCUGGUUCUGUCUCCACUGCCAGACAAAUCUUGGUGAGGGGUGAGGCCUUUGUUUUAUCCAAGGCUGAGUGGCCAAGGCCUAGAACAGGACCUGACACACAGCAGGCUCUCAGUAAGAUGGGAUGAAUGAAUGAGGGAAUGCCCCAAACAGCCCGGACUCAGUUGAGAACACCCCACCCUCAUCCCCUAACCCACCUGUGAUGAGGUCCCAAGAACAUCCCCCUUGCUUUCAGCACCCCUCCAUCUGUGGCUUCCCACCCCAGACAGGGGCCCCAGAACAAGGGAAGUCCCAGGAAGCUGCAGAAGGGACAGGCAUAGCCCGGGCAAUGAAUGAGCCCGCCAGGCCGAUGAGGAGCCCAGGCUGCAUCUGACAUGGGCAUUCCAUACCAGCCCAGGACCCCUGGCGCAGGACACAUGCCCCUUCCUGACACUCUGCAGCCCUUGUUGGCCACUAGCUGAGGAUGACCCCCCACCAGCCACGCUGGUGAAGUAUCUUUGUCAGGUGCUCCUGAAUCCCAGAAGGCCAAGGGCCUCAACUAGCAAGGAGAGAUUUUCUAGGCUGCUGCAACAAUGAUGCUGCAAGAGGGUGGCCAAGUUGAUCACCUGAGGUUGGACCAGUCCUGCAACUCUGGAAACUACAACAGCAACGAUCUCCCUGUCAACUAGUCCAGCACCAGCAGAUGCGUGAAAACACUAGGAGGUUUGCAUGCUUUCAGGAACGAGGAGCUCACCACCGCAUAUACACUCUGUAGUUCCAUCCCAGGAACGCUUGAACGAUCGGACCAGGCUGAACUACCCACUGAAUCAGCUAAACGCCUCCCUUUGCAGCCACACUCAAAUGCAUGUACCCUCUAACCAUGACAAACCUCGAACAUUCAACAGCUAUGAUCCUGAAGAGUCUCGCCUCCAACCUGCCAGCACAUGUUCCUCAAGGGGCAAGAUCUGCAGCCCCUUUUACCUUUUGGGUUCCUAGGCACGAACAUGAGAUAACAUGCCCUCCUCAGCCCAGCAAUCUAUGCUCCUGUUAAUGCAUCCCAAGAAAAACCCAGCCUCCUUCCAGCUGCCACACCUUCAACGCCUUGUACCUCGCUUGAAGAUACAAUGCUACCAGCCUCCAGCACUGCCCCACCCAGCGGCAUGUGGCACUUAAUUGACAUUUCCUUCUCUCCCAGCCUCAGUCUGGGAAAAGGCCCCCAUCAUUAGAAUACAUCACAUUGGCCACCUCCAAAGCCUCGGGGCCUGGAUGAGUGCUCUGAUCUGCCCCAUAGUGGGCUGUGCCAGAGGGGCCUCGCUGUGCAGAUGCCAGGUGACUCCCAAACAUGCUUAUGCCAGAGCCCAAAACACCAGGCCCCGCCUGCACUGAGGCCACUCCCCAUCUCCCUGAGCCGGCUGCCCUCUGCCCGCAACAGCUCCCUCCUGCUCGAACAGGGUGCACAUGUACACAGACUGGGACCUCUGACCUCCGUCUCUCCAGACCCACCUGUACACCAGCAGCUCCCUCGCCCACCCUCCCAAAUCCAGGCCUGUCUCCCGAAACCUCAGGGGGACACUCUCUCUGCUCCCCGUCCCCACCCCAGGUGCCACCUAGGACUGUCUCCUGUCCCCUCCAGGAGCACCUGGCCCUGGCUGGGAGCCCCUGAUGGGAACAGAGAGCCCACGUCCCACAUCCCAUGCAGGCCGCUGAGAGCCUGUUUGCCCACCCCGCCCCCGUGGUCUGCAUGGCUACCCACAAGCACUCACAUUUUGAUGUUCUCAUGAUACUGCCGGGUGUCGGAGGGCUGGUUGUACAAUGGCUGCAAAGGGAGAGAGAGAAGCGCGUCAGAGCCCGGCUGGCCACUGGCCACUGCAGAGCCCACCGGCAGGAGCCCCAAGCCUGGCACAGAGGAGCUGUCCUCUGGGUGAGGGCUCAGCCAUGGGCAGGCAUGAAACGGAACACAGGGACCCAGCACGCAGCCCCAGCCAGGAACAGGCUGAAACUGGUUCCUCCAGGACAGCUGUGGGUACGGUGACCGCCCCCACCAAGGUCGUCAUAGCUGCUCUGCGGGGCAUUCAGCAGUGCUGGCCUGAAAGGAGCCACAGCCCAGAGCACACCAGGACAAACCCACACACACCCCAGAGGUUGGCCCUGGCCACCGAACAUGGAAAGCCGCUUGGUUUCCCAGCUCACCAUGGAAAUGUGCGUCCCAACGCUGCAAGAUACCACUCCACCCCCACUGACGAGCAAAGACAAAAACGUUGAAUAAUGCCAAGUGUUGGUGAGGUCUGCGGUGACAGGAAGCCUGGCACAUAGCUGGUGGGAGCAUGGUGUAUGGGCACACGUCCCCCAGAGAGAGAGACAGUAGCCACUGCCUGGUGACGAACACUGACGCCCCCGCCUCCGACCCCCGUGCUCCUGCAGAUGCCUACUGUGCUCUGCCAGGAGACGGGCGCUAGGACGUUGCUACAGCGCUGCUCACAGCGGCCCACGAGAAGCAAGCUAGCCGUCCGCCACCAGAAGAGCAGCUAAGGAGAUCAGGGAUCAGCUACACCACAAAUCCCACACAGCAGUGAGAAAGGGACACAGGGCCCACAGGUAGCAAGCACAGAGCUUCAAAGAGCGCACGAGGAGACGCAGAAAGCACCGCAGCGUCUGUGAUGGGGGCAGGGACCCAGACAGCUGCCACAUGUCCCCUCCCAAAUGGAAGAACCUUGCUUAGCAACCAAGGGCACAGCCUGGGUUCAAGUCCAGGUUCUGAUGCUUUCUAGCUGGGUCUCCAUCUGUGCCUCCGUUUCUCCUCAUCUAUAAAAUGGGGUUAAACUCAUAGGGUUUUGCGAAGAUCAAACGAGACAGUGCAUGCUAAGCUCUGAGGCUGGCACCUGCAGGCUGAAGUGCCCAGAGGUGCCAGUCGCAUUGUCGCCAUCAGAGAGCAGUGACUGUGUUAAUGGCACCCACCUUUCACGC